GUGCCAGCAGCGCGGUAAGACGUAGGGGGCGAGCGUUGUCCGGAAUUACUGGGCGUAAAGAGCACGUAGGCGGGAACCUAAGUCAGGUGUGAAAGACCGUGGCUCAACCACGGGGUGGCAUUUGAAACUGGGUUUCUUGAGGGCAGGAGAGGAAAGCAGAAUUCCUGGUGUAGCGGUGAAAUGCGUAGAAAUCAGGAGGAAUACCAGUGGCGAAGGCGGCUUUCUGGACUGACCCUGACGCUGAGGUGCGAAAGCGUGGGUAGCAAACAGG
rnacentral:rRNA from 1 species